GAUAAACGCUAGCGGCAGGCUUAACACAUGCAAGUCGAGGGGCAGCAAUGAGUUUUGGUGGCGACCGGCAGACGGGGGCGUAACGCGUGGACAACCUACCCUUAACAGGGGAAUAACGGAGGGAAACUUCCACUAAUACCCCAUAACCUCCCAAGAGGCCUCUGUUGGCGUUGAAAGCUCCGGCGGUUAAGGAUGGGCACGCGUUGUAUUAGAUUGUUGGUAAGGUAACGGCUAACCAAGUCUACGAUACAUAGGGGGAAUGAGAGGUUAACCCACCACACUGGUACUGAGACACGGACCAGACUCCGACGGGAGGCAGCAGUGAGGAAUAUUGGUCAAUGGACGCAAGUCUGAACCAGCCAUGCCGCGUGCAGGAAGACGGCUCUAUGAGUUGUAAACUGCGUUUGCAAGAGGAUAAUUGCGGGUACGUGUACCCGCUUGAAGGUACCUUGCGAAUAAGGAUCGGCUAACUCCGUGCCAGCAGCCGCCGUAA
rnacentral:rRNA from 1 species